rnacentral:misc_RNA from 1 species
GGAAGUAAAAGUCGUGACAAGGUUUCCGUAGGUGAACCUGCGGAAGGAUCAUUAUUGUAUAACCGAGGUGCGAGGGCUGUCGCUGACCCGAAAGGUCGUGCACGCCCGAGUGCCCUCACACACAUCCAUCUCACCCCUAUGUGCACCACCGCGUGGGUCCCCCUUUGGCUUGUUCGGAGGGGGGCUUACGUUUUCACACAAACUUUGUAUGCAGUGUAGAAUGUAUUUUUUGUUUUUGCGAUCACGCAAUCAAUACGACUUUCAACAACGGAUCUCUUGGCUCUC